rnacentral:rRNA from 1 species
AACGAACGCUGGCGGCAUGCCUAACACAUGCAAGUCGAACGAAACGUCCGGGUUUAGUUGCGCACGGCUGGUUAACGCGUGGGGAUCUGCCCUUGAGUACGGAAUAACUGUUGGAAACGACUGCUAAUAACGGUGGGUGACUUAAGUCCAAAGAUUUAUCGCCCAAGGAUGAGCGCGCGUAGGAUUAGCCAGUUGGUGAGGUAAUGGCUCGCCAAGGAGAGGAUCCUUAGCUGGUCUGGGAGGAUGAGCAGCCACACUGGGAAUGAGACACGGCCCAGACUCCGACGGGAGGAAGCAGGGGGGAAUAUUGGACAAGGGGCGAAGGCCUGGUGAAGCAGUGCCGCGGGAGGGAUGAAGCCCUUAGGGCUGUAAAGCUCUCUUAGCCGGGAUGAUAGUGACGGUACCGGGAGAAGAAGCUCCGGCUAACUACGUG